CCCCCAACUUUUCUGAGUUUGACCUCGAAUCAGGUAGGAUUACCCGCUGAACUUAAGCAUAUCAAUAAGCGGAGGAAAAGAAACCAACAGGGAUUGCCCUAGUAACGGCGAGUGAAGCGGCAACAGCUCAAAUUUGAAAUCUGGCCCUCGGGUCCGAGUUGUAAUUUGUAGAGGAUGUUUUUGGUGAGGUACCUUCCGAGUUCCCUGGAACGGGACGCCAUAGAGGGUGAGAGCCCCGUCUGGUUGGAUACCGAUCCUCUGUAAAACUCCUUCAACGAGUCGAGUAGUUUGGGAAUGCUGCUCUAAAUGGGAGGUAUAUGUCUUCUAAAGCUAAAUAUUGGCCAGAGACCGAUAGCGCACAAGUAGAGUGAUCGAAAGAUGAAAAGCACUUUGAAAAGAGAGUUAAAAAGUACGUGAAAUUGUUGAAAGGGAAGCGCUUAUGACCAGACUUGGACUUGGUUGAUCAUCCUGGGUUCUCCCUGGUGCACUCUUCCAGUUCAGGCCAGCAUCAGUUCAUCGCGGGGGAUAAAGGCUUCGGGAAUGUGGCUCCCUCGGGAGUGUUAUAACCCGUUGUGUAAUACCCUGCUUUGGACUGAGGUUCGCGCAUCUGCAAGGAUGCUGGCGUAAUGGUCAUCAGCGACCCGUCUUGAAACACGGACCAAGGAGUCGUCUUCGUAUGCGAGUGUUCGGGUGUUAAACCCCUACGCGUAAUGAAAGUGAACGCAGGUGAGAGCUUCGGCGCAUCAUCGACCGAUCCUGAUGUUCUCGGAUGGAUUUGAGUAAGAGCAUACGGGGCCGGACCCGAAAGAAGGUGAACUAUGCUUGUAUAGGGUGAAGCCAGAGGAAACUCUGGUGGAGGCUCGCAGCGGUUCUGACGUGCAAAUCGAUCGUCAAAUAUGAGCAUGGGGGCGAAAGACUAAUCGAACCUUCUAGUAGCUGGUUGUUGCCGAAGUUCCCCUCAGA
rnacentral:rRNA from 1 species